GGGGUUGUGGCUCAGUGGUAGAGCACUCACCUGGCAUGUUUGAAGUCCUGAGUUCGAUCCUCAGCACCACA
rnacentral:tRNA from 1 species